CAACUCUGGUUUCUCUUCAAUUCUCUUCAAACUCUUCAAGUUUUUCGCCUUUUACUAAAGACUUCCGUGGAGAGCAACGCUUACGAGUUCAACGUAUUUUUGGACGGGCUUUGCUCCCGGCAGAGCC
ensembl:snRNA U5 U5 spliceosomal RNA